rnacentral:rRNA from 1 species
UGGGGAAUAUUGCGCGAUGGGCGGAAGCCUGACGCAGCAACGCCGCGUGCGGGAAGAAGGCUUUCGGGUCGUAAACCGCUUUCAGCAGGGACGAAGCUUCCGGGGUUAAUAGCCUACGGGGUGACGGUACCUGCAGAAGAAGCCCCGGCUAACUACGUGCCAGCAGCCGCGGUAAUACGUAGGGGGCAAGCGUUGUCCGGAUUUAUUGGGCGUAAAGAGCGUGUAGGCGGCUUGGUAGGUCUCGCGUCAAAACCUGCGGCUCAACCGCAGUUCGCGUGGGAAACCACCUAGCUAGAGUCCGGAAGAGGAGAACGGAAUUCCCAGUGUAGCGGUGAAAUGCGCAGAUAUUGGGAAGAACACCAGUGGCGAAGGCGGUUCUCUGGGACGGUACUGACGCUGAGACGCAAAAGCGUGGGGAGCGAACAGGAUUAGAUACCCUGGUAGUCCACGCCGUAAACGAUGGGCGCUAGGUGUGGGAGGUGUCGACUCCUUCCGUGCCGAAGCUAACGCAUUAAGCGCCCCGCCUGGGGAGUACGGCCGCAAGGCUAA